UGGUUCUGGCAUNGAUGAAGAACGCAGCGAAAUGCGAUAAGUAAUGUGAAUUGCAGAAUUCCGUGAAUCAUCGAAUCUUUGAACGCAUAUUGCGCCCUUUGGUAUUCCGAGGGGCAUGCCUGUUCGAGCGUUAUUUUCAUUCUCAAGUAUUUGCUUGGUGUUGGAGAUUGCCCCGGCGGGGCACCUCCGAAACAUAGCGGCGACGUAGCCGGCUUCCCUGGCGUAGUGACUAUUUUCCACCGCCCCGGAGCUGUCGGUCGUGCGUUAGCCGGACAACACCCCCUUUCUUGAAUCGACCUCGGAUCAGGCAGGACUACCCGCUGA
rnacentral:misc_RNA from 1 species